ensembl:lncRNA
AUUGAGUAGAUCUUAAUCAAAAAGCAGAAAGUGAAGGUGAUUGUGUUUGAGAUUUGAUGUGAUAUUGGUAAUCCAUGGAUGCUGGGAUUACUGUAUAUAGCACAUCGAAUUGCUGGGCUUGUUGUUUUGGUUUGCCUCACUUAUUCAGCCUCCUCUGUAAUUAAUCGCUGCCGAGUGAACCACAGAUCAGACCCCCCCCCCCCCCACACACACACACACAUAUGCGGUGAUCACACAGCGGCAAUGGUUCUAGCGGCGGUAAUUAAAGAACUGUUAGCGGUGAGUGAGUUCCCCUCCAUUUGAACUCUCACUUCCAUUCCAUCCUCUCUUGGUAUCUUCCCCUUUUGUCUAUUUCAUUUCUUUUGAUCAACCUCGUAUCAUCCUUCUUCAUUUUCUGUUUUUUUUUGGUCUAUUUUUCCCCCUUCCCAUUACUCUUCUCUCUCCCUGCCCACCGCCCUCCUCCUCUCACAUUCUUCCUGCUUUAUCAUUGUCUCCUUCCUCUUCCUCCUCACCUCCAUCCUCCACCUCCCCCUCUCCUUCAUUUCCCUAGAGGUGAACCAAUGUGUGCACGCUGUUGCAGCAAAGGGCAGAGCUGGAUACACACAACUAGUCUAGCGGAGGUGAGUACAGCAUGUGUGUGUGUGUGUGUCUCUUUUCGGCACGCUCACACCUUGUAGACACCGCAGGUGCUGCAUCAAGAUAAAUGAGCCGUCAUUAGCCAAUCAGGUCAGCCGGUGGGAGGGCGACGGGAAGCCGAGGAGCGAGAUCAGCUAGUGGAGGUCAAGCCUCUGAAGGGGGGAGUUGUGUGAGCGCGCGCGUCUGCGUGUGUGCGCUCGCUGGUGUCUCUCUGAAGGCUCGAGAAGGAUAAUUUCCGGAGAAUAAGUUUUUCUUUUCCUCCUCCUCCUCCUCCUGCCUUUCCCGUCUGUCCAUCUCCGUGAAGCGGAGGCGUGCCAGAGAUUUGGGGCCUCGUGGUCCGGCGGCCUAAUUGGCACCCCAAGCCCGUUGUGUUCAUCAGCGGCUCAUCGAGAGUGUGGGGGACGGAGGCUGAGUGGGGGCUGUUUUCUGCCGGAUGGGGACAGAAAUGUCGCGUUGUGUUUUUUAAUGUCUGCUUCCCGAAGCACGUCUCCCGGUCUAAAGAAAGGGCUGUGAAACCAAUUUGAAACAAAAUUUAAACUUUCUCAUCACGGCACCGUAAUCAAUCAAUAUGUGAGUGUGUGUGUGUGUGUGUGUGUGUGUGUGUGUGUGUGUAGGGGGGUGAUUCUUUGCCCUUUUAACAUUUACUGCAGCUAAUACAAAUGGAUUUAUGCAUAAAAGGCGCCGGUUCUCACAGCCAAAUUGCUGCUGGCAAAGGGGAAGGUAAAUGAUUAACCCCAUGGAAAAACUCUAAUCUCCCCCCUUCUCUCCCUCUAUGAAUGUGUGAAUGUGUGAAUGUGUGUGUGUGUGUGUGGGGGCAUUCAGGAUGGGCGGCGGCCCUCUUUGAUCGCUAAUCCUUUUUUCUGGCCCGACUUUCUAUCCGUCGUUCCUGUUUUUGUUCGUCCUCUGCCCAUCUCCUCUCCCGCGGCGUCUGCACUGUGAGCGGCCCACAGGAGCAUAUUUUGGACAGGACGUCCCUCUCCCUCCCUCUCUCUCUUAUCUGCCUGUUCCUUUCCCUGCGCUUCUUUUGGAGUGUUGGUUCUAAGUUCUGACACCUCAGCAAGUUAGCGGCCUGUGAUCAUUCCUUCUCUCCGCGCGGGCAGAGAAGCAGGUCUACUGCUGAACUCCACAGUCCAACUUCUUUCGUCUACGUGCAGCCAAAGCUUAUGUGGGACGGGUGCUUCUCAAAACCACAGCUUUCUUCGUUGAACAUAAUCCUUUUCUGACUCCAGCUAUUGAGGUCUUCUGUCUCUACCUCCCAUCUCUCUCCCUUCUCCUUCUCUGAGAUCCGGGUGACCUUUCUGUCUUCGUUCCCCGUACGCGGUAUAUAAGUUUCAUUCCGCUUCUCAGUUUCAGGUAAGCUGUCCAACCAGCUAAGGCCAGAAACAUUUCUGCUCUCACACACACACACACACACACAUACUGUGAGUCUGUGUGUCACUCAGCCCUCGGUCACCAGCGAAUACCUCGCAGCAUUAUUAUUCAACGCGCUCAUAACUUCUUAGAGGAGCUCUGGAAAUCGCCACGGCUUCGUCGAGGCUUCACAACAGCGCCAGUGUGUUCUUACACACACUUUAUACUGCGUUUUAUGAUGGUAAAUUCCUAAUUCAUUAAGUUGCAAACUUGUGGGAGAUAUUCCAAGCAGCUGUGCAGGAGCUGCAG